UCGAGAAUCUUUCGCAAUGGGCGCAAGCCUGACGAAGCGACGCCGUGUGAGCGAAGAAGGCCUUCGGGUUGUAAAGCUCUUUCGCUAGGGAACAAGAACUAGACACGAACAAUGGUUAGUUUUGAUGGUACUUGGUAAAGAAGCACCGGCUAACUCCGUGCCAGCAGCUGCGGUAAUACGGAGGGUGCAAGCAUUGAUCGGAAUUACUGGGCGUAAAGGGUGCGUAGGCGGUUAGACAAGUCAGAUGUGAAAUUCCGAGGCUCAACUUCGGAGCUGCAUGUGAAACUGUAUAACUGGAGUGUAGUUAGGGAAAACGGAAUUCCACGUGUAGCGGUGAAAUGCGUAGAUAUGUGGAAGAACACCAGUGGUGAAGACGGUUUUCUGGGCUAUAACUGACGCUGAGGCACGAAAGCUAGGGGAGCAAACA
rnacentral:rRNA from 1 species